GCCAUUAAGACCAAGACGAUAUCAUCAACAUCGCAAACUAUUUUAGACUGAACAUAAUUUUAGCCCCUAAUUCAUGCGUCGACUCUAAUUCCAGUUUCUUAAUUUUCAUGCACUGUGCUCAAUUAUACACCAGGAUGUCGAUCAUCAUAAAUCCCAAUAUUCUCGUUAAAAUCUAUAAUUUUGUUUACAAAAAUUGGGCCCAUUUUCUCACAGUUUCAAGACAAUGAAACCCAAAUCUCAGAAACGAUAAAUCAGAACGACCCAAAAGCCAAAAAAGCGAACUCACACCAACGUGGACCACAAAUGCAAGCCUUAGUAGUCAACUUGUAGUCAC
rnacentral:misc_RNA from 1 species